CGGUGGAAAAUGAACCAAAUGGGAUUCCUUAAGUAAUUGCGAAUGAACAGGGAAAUGCUCAGCUUGAAAAAUGGGGCCUUUGGCUUUGAAUUGUAAUUUUGAAAUGUAUUGCCAAUGGAGGCGCAGGUGCAAGCCUAUUGAAAGAAAGCGUCAAUGAGGGUGAGAUUCCUUUUUGUCAUUUGCAGUCCUCCGUGCACGGUAUAUAUUUGACGAGUCACACUCCUCGGCAUUGGAAUGCAAAGUGGGUGGUAAAUUCCAUGUAAAGGUAAAUAUAUUAUUGAGACUGAUAGCAAACAAGUACCAUGAGGGAAAUAUGAAAAGGACUUUGAAAAGAGAAUUAAAAGAGUCUGCAUUUGCUGAACAGAAAGCAAACAGAAUUGAUUUUACUUGGUGAGAUUGUUGUGCUUACUCUAUCUUUUAUAUGGUUGAUGUGGGUGCGAUGGUUCUUACCUUGAAUGUCAGCUUCUAUUUCUGCAAAUCAUUACCCUUGCACAUGAAUGGUAAUUUGCCUGCGGGUAUUGGAAUGCAUGUGUUUGCAGUGAUUUGUGAUUUGACGCAUGUGUUUGGUGAAAUUUGUAUAUGCUCUUUUGUCGAAGGGGAAAGCUUACUUUUUUGAGCAUUGCAAGCCCUUACACA
rnacentral:rRNA from 1 species